rnacentral:lncRNA from 1 species
CCAAAACAAACAGACAAAAGAGAACGAUAGGUGCUAUAUAUGAACAAGUUUUAUCCUCCACCAAGACUAAUUUAAUCAUAACCAUAGACUCUUUAAUGAAAAAUAAAGAGUAUACAUAGACUAAAUGCUACAUUAACUUAUUUAUGCAGCAAAAGAUGAUUUCAGACAUCCCACAUAAUUACAAGUUGGCAUCCAUAAGGAUUUCGAGUUUAAUCAUGCCCUCACAGUAUGUAAUUAAACAGGCAUACUCGAAAUAGCAAAAGCCCUAAUUCAUCAUGCUCAAACUCAUCACACUAUAAUCAUGCAUAUAAGAGAACAAUUAACCAUGCAUGAUAACAUGAAUUAAGUUACCUGAAUGCAUCGUUGGAUCCAUAUUCGUCAACCCGAUUGCAAUUCCUCGGCUUCAAAUAAAUGAAACAAAUUAUCCAUCAAUGCUCGAGACCCAACCACGCGGAUUUCCAUCACUCCAAAUUCCCAUGGACCUCGUACCAUUGCAGAUUAUCGAAGUGAAUUGCCAUUGUUACAGACGCGCCGAUCCAAAAUCAUCGCCAAAGUUAUCAGCCAGAAUCUCGUCAGCACCAAUUCCCAGAAAAAGACAAUUCUCAUUCAGAUUUCAAUAAAACAAAAGAAACAAGAUGAACUUUGUUCAAUGGUUCUCAUUCAUAAUACAAGUUUAUUCAUUAUACUGAUAAUACAAGGAGGAUUAAUAAACCAAAAUUAUCUCAAUCUACAAACAUCAUAACCAACUGCAGCGGAAGCAAUACUAAUGCAACUUAAAUGUGACAUUAGUUAGAAAAGAACGGUUUGGAUUCAACAAUAUUCAAUUGCAGGUGUUAUUUCAAUAUCACUGUCAAAUUCCAAUAUUUCCGAUCUACAACUAAUUAUUUAAGC